AGUGAACGCUGGCGGUAGGCCUAACACAUGCAAGUCGAACGGCAGCACAGUAAGAGCUUGCUCUUACGGGUGGCGAGUGGCGGACGGGUGAGGAAUACAUCGGAAUCUACUUUUUCGUGGGGGAUAACGUAGGGAAACUUACGCUAAUACCGCAUACGACCUACGGGUGAAAGCAGGUGAUCUUCGGACCUUGCGCGAUUCAAUGAGCCGAUGUCGGAUUGGCUAGUUGGCGGGGUAAAGGCCCACCAAGGCGACGCUCCGUACCUGGUCUGAGCGGAUGAUCGGCAACACUGGAACUGGGACACGGUCCAGCUUCCUACGGGAGGAAGCAGUGGGGAAUAUUGGACAAUGGGCGCAAGCCUGAUCCAGCCAUACCGCGUGGGUGAAGAAGGCCUUCGGGUUGUAAAGCCCUUUUGUUGGGAAAGAAAAGCAGCAGGUUAAUACCCCGCUGUUCUGACGGUACCCAAAGAAUAAGCACCGGCUAACUUCGUG
rnacentral:rRNA from 1 species